rnacentral:rRNA from 1 species
AACGAACGCUGGCGGCAUGCCUAACACAUGCAAGUCGAACGAGACCUUCGGGUCUAGUGGCGCACGGGUGCGUAACGCGUGGGAAUCUGCCCUUGGGUUCGGAAUAACAGUUGGAAACGACUGCUAAUACCGGAUGAUGACGUAAGUCCAAAGAUUUAUCGCCCAAGGAUGAGCCCGCGUAGGAUUAGCUAGUUGGUGAGGUAAAGGCUCACCAAGGCGACGAUCCUUAGCUGGUCUGAGAGGAUGAUCAGCCACACUGGGACUGAGACACGGCCCAGACUCCUACGGGAGGCAGCAGUGGGGAAUAUUGGUCAAGGGGCGAAAGCCUGAUCCAGCAAUGCCGCGUGAGUGAUGAAGGCCUUAGGGUUGUAAAGCUCUUUUACCCGGGAUGAUAAUGACAGUACCGGGAGAAUAAGCUCCGGCUAACUCCGUG